rnacentral:rRNA from 1 species
CCUACGGGAGGCAGCAGUAGGGAAUUUUCGGCAAUGGGGGGAACCCUGACCGAGCAACGCCGCGUGAACGAAGAAGUUAUUCGUAAUGUAAAGUUCUUUUAACAGGGAAGAAAGAGAAAUUUGACGGUACCUGAAGAAUAAGCUCCGGCUAACUACGUGCCAGCAGCCGCGGUAAUCCGUAGGGAGCGACCGUUAUCCGGAAUUAUUGGGCGAAAGGGGUGCGUAGAUGGCAUAGUAAGUCUUUUGUAAAAAUGCUGGGCUCAACCCAGUAGGGCAAAAGAUACUGCAAAGCUAGAGUAUGACAGAGGCAAGUGGAACUACAUGUGUAGCGGUAAAAUGCGUAAAUAUAUGGAAGAACACCAGUGGCGAAGGCGGCUUGCUGGGUCGAUACUGACAUUGAGGCACGAAAGCGUGGGGAGCAAACAGGAUUAGAUACCCCAGUAGUC